GCUCCCGGAGUCUCCGGUGGCGAGAGACGCCAGCCCUUCGAGCUGGAGGUCGGGGGUUCGAUUCCCCCCCGGGAGCA
rnacentral:tRNA from 1 species